CGGGAAACACCUGGUUCCAUUCCGAACCCAGCAGUUAAGCCGUUAUACGCCGAUGGUACUGCGGGAGCGCCCGUGGGAGAGUAGGUACUGCCA
rnacentral:rRNA from 1 species